CGUAAGAGCUCGUAGGCGGUUUGUCGCGUCUGCUGUGAAAUCUGGGGGCUCAACCCCCAGCCUGCAGUGGGUACGGGCAGACUAGAGUGCGGUAGGGGAGAUUGGAAUUCCUGGUGUAGCGGUGGAAUGCGCAGAUAUCAGGAGGAACACCGAUGGCGAAGGCAGAUCUCUGGGCCGUAACUGACGCUGAGGAGCGAAAGCAUGGGGAGCGAACAGGAUUAGAUACCCUGGUAGUCCAUGCCGUAAACGUUGGGAACUAGAUGUGGGGGCCAUUCCACGGUCUCCGUGUCGCAGCUAACGCAUUAAGUUCCCCGCCUGGGGAGUACGGCCGCAAGGCUAAAACUCAAAGGAAUUGACGGGGGCCCGCACAAGCGGCGGAGCAUGCGGAUUAAUUCGAUGCAACGCGAAGAACCUUACCAAGGCUUGACAUAUACCGGAAACGUCCAGAGAUGGUCGCCCCGCAAGGUCGGAAUACAGGUGGUGCAUGGUUGUCGUCAGCUCGUGUCGUGAGAUGUUGGGUUAAGUCCCGCAACGAGCGCAACCCUCGUUCUAUGUUGCCACCACGUUAUGGUGGGAACUCAUAGGAGACUGCCGGGGUCAACUCGGAGGAAGGUGGGGAUGACGUGAAAUCAUCAUGCCCCUUAUGUCUUGGGCUUCACGCAUGCUACAGUGGCCGGUACAAAGGGCUGCGAUACCGUAAGGUGCAGCGAAUCCCAAUAAGCCGGUCUCAGUCGGAUUGAGGUCUGCAACUCGACCUCAUGAAGCCGAGUCGCUACUAAUCGCAGAUUAGCAACGCUGCGGGAAUACUGUCCCGGGCCUUGUACACAUCGCCCGUCAAGUCAUGAAAGUCAGAACACCGAAGACAGUGCCUAACCCCUUGA
rnacentral:rRNA from 2 species